rnacentral:rRNA from 2 species
GCCUAAUACAUGCAAGUCGAACGCACUGACGUUUACCGAAGCUGCUUGCAGUGGACGUUGAUUGACGUGAGUGGCGGACGGGUGAGUAACACGUGGGUAACCUACCCUUAAGUGGGGGAUAACAUUUGGAAACAGAUGCUAAUACCGCAUAACCAUUCAGACCACAUGGUCUGAAUGUAAAAGACGGCCUUUGGCUGUCACUUUUGGACGGACCCGCGGCGUAUUAGUUAGUUGGUAAGGUAACGGCUUACCAAGACAAUGAUACGUAGCCGACCUGAGAGGGUAAUCGGCCACAUUGGGACUGAGACACGGCCCAAACUCCUACGGGAGGCAGCAGUAGGGAAUCUUCCACAAUGGACGAAAGUCUGAUGGAGCAACGCCGCGUGAGUGAAGAAGGUUUUAGGAUCGUAAAACUCUGUUGUUGGAGAAGAACAGGGACUAGAGUAACUGUUAGUCCUUUGACGGUAUCCAACCAGAAAGCCACGGCUAACUACGUGCCAGCAGCCGCGGUAAUACGUAGGUGGCAAGCGUUGUCCGGAUUUAUUGGGCGUAAAGCGAGCGCAGGCGGUUUUUUAAGUCUGAUGUGAAAGCCUUCGGCUUAACCGAAGAAGUGCAUUAGAAACUGGGAAACUUGAGUGCAGAAAAAGACAGUGGAACUCCAUGUGUAGCGGUGAAAUGCAUAGAUAUAUGGAAGAACACCAGUGGCGAAGGUGGUCUGUCUGGUCUGUAACUGACCACUCAAGGAUCCCAAGUUUUGGGGAACGGGGCG